UGCCCGGUGUCUCCAGAACUACUCAAAAUAAUAUUUCAAUUUUCCAUAUCUUUGUCUUCUGCCUAACCAAAUUGACUCUCGUGAUAGCCCCAUAAAGUGGUGAAGUUUCAGUUGGACCAGGUCCACCCCCUAUCAUUCCCGCUCGGGCGGGGAGAAUAAGUCUUUUUUUUUGUUUGUUUUUAAACAGAAGAGAACCAUAUCAUUAGCUUACCCAAAAGUAUACAAUGUCU
rnacentral:lncRNA from 1 species